rnacentral:rRNA from 1 species
AGUGAACGCUGGCGGCAGGCCUAACACAUGCAAGUCGAACGGCAGCACAGUAAGAGCUUGCUCUUACGGGUGGCGAGUGGCGGACGGGUGAGGAAUACACCGGAAUCUACUUUUUCGUGGGGGAUAACGUAGGGAAACUUACGCUAAUACCGCAUACGACCUACGGGUGAAAGCAGGGGAUCUUCGGACCUUGCGCGAUUGAAUGAGCCGAGGGCGGAUUAGGUAGUUGGCGGGGUAAAGGCCCGCCAAGGCGAGGAUCCGUAGCUGGUCUGAGAGCAUGAUGCGCCCCACUGGAAGUGAGACACGGUCCAGACUCCUACGGGAGGCAGCAGUGGGGAAUAUUGGACAAUGGGGGCAAGCCUGAUCCAGCCAUACCGCGUGGGUGAAGAAGGCCUUCGGGUUGUAAAGCCCUUUUGUUGGGAAAGAAAAGCAGCAGGUUAAUACCCCGCUGUUCUGACGGUACCCAAAGAAUAAGCACCGGCUAACUUCGUG